AUCCAGCUGACGAGUCUCAAAUAGGACGAAACACAACCUGGAU
rnacentral:hammerhead_ribozyme from 1 species